AAAAUUUUCCAGCACCCGACUGAACAAAACAACAACAGGAUGGCCCGACAAGCUGUACGGUACAAAGCCGGAGAACUGUGGAACGUGGGAAAUAAUAAAAAAGCGGCAUUCACCGUUCUUGCUGGACCAGAUACCGAGAACCUCGGAACCGGGAACAUGGUUCGGGCAUACAGGCACGAACGGGUCAGUGUUCCUGGUGAGUGCAUGCCGGAACACAGCCUGGCUUUUAGAGCAGCAGAAAAAACGGAUGGAUACCUUUUGAUGGAGUUAUCUUGAUCCGGUCCUGAAUGAAUGUUUUUACCCGCAUAUACAGAUCGAUGGGCAGAAUAGAUGACCUCGACAUCCAACUCCAUAGGGCCGAAAUUCUGUCGACCCGGCAUGGACGGUCAUGAAGAGGCCCUUCCCGAGUUGGCCUUUGCCACCAGCAGCAUCGCCGGUUGAAAUAAUGGUUUGGUGUUGUCCCCAAAGCCAGCUGGAGGAGUCAAUUAAUGAUUGUUAGUGAUACCCCGUGACCCCGGAGUGAAUAAAUAAAGAAACAUAAAAAAACAUGUGUAUAUUAAUACAGCAGAAACUGAAAACAUUAUCAACUAAUAUGUUCCAAAAUACAUUGCAUUGUUACAAAUCAAAUUUUAAUUUUCAAAACCACAAAAAAAAUUAUAAUUUUGAACAUCGAAAAUAAAUUUUCUUUCAAA